GAUGAACGCUGGCGGCGUGCCUAAUACAUGCAAGUCGAGCGAACAGACGAGGAGCUUGCUCCUCUGACGUUAGCGGCGGACGGGUGAGUAACACGUGGAUAACCUACCUAUAAGACUGGGAUAACUUCGGGAAACCGGAGCUAAUACCGGAUAAUAUAUUGAACCGCAUGGUUCAAUAGUGAAAGACGGUUUUGCUGUCACUUAUAGAUGGAUCCGCGCCGCAUUAGCUAGUAGGUAAGGUAACGGCUUACCAAGGCAACGAUGCGUAGCCGACCUGAGAGGGUGAUCGGCCACACUGGAACUUAGACACGGUCCAGACUCCUACGGGAGGCAGCAGUAGGGAAUCUUCCGCAAUGGGCGAAAGCCUGACGGAGCAACGCCGCGUGAGUGAUGAAGGUCUUCGGAUCGUAAAACUCUGUUAUUAGGGAAGAACAAAUGUGUAAGUAACUAUGCACGUCUUGACGGUACCUAAUCAGAAAGCCACGGCUAACUACGUG
rnacentral:rRNA from 1 species